GGGGUCAUAGCUCAGCUGGGAGAGCGCUACGAUGGCAUUGUAGAGGUCGGGGGUUCGAUCCCCCCUGACUCCACCA
rnacentral:tRNA from 1 species